CAGCAGUGGGGAAUAUUGCACAAUGGGGGAAACCCUGAUGCAGCGACGCCGCGUGGAGGAAGAAGGUCUUCGGAUUGUAAACUCCUGUUGUUGAGGAAGAUAAUGACGGUACUCAACAAGGAAGUGACGGCUAACUACGUGCCAGCAGCCGCGGUAAAACGUAGGUCACAAGCGUUGUCCGGAAUUACUGGGUGUAAAGGGAGCGCAGGCGGGAAGACAAGUUGGAAGUGAAAUCCAUGGGCUCAACCCAUGAACUGCUUUCAAAACUGUUUUUCUUGAGUAGUGCAGAGGUAGGCGGAAUUCCCGGUGUAGCGGUGGAAUGCGUAGAUAUCGGGAGGAACACCAGUGGCGAAGGCGGCCUACUGGGCACCAACUGACGCUGAGGCUCGAAAGUGUGGGUAGCAAACAGGAUUAGAUACCCUGGUAGUCCACACUGUAAACGAUGAUUACUAGGUGUUGGAGGAUUGACCCCUUCAGUGCCGCAGUUAACACAAUAAGUAAUCCACCUGGGGAGUACGACCGCAAGGUUGAAACUCAAAGGAAUUGACGGGGGCCCGCACAAGCAGUGGAGUAUGUGGUUUAAUUCGACGCAACGCGAAGAACCUUACCAGGUCUUGACAUCAAGUGACCGCCUAAGAGAUUAGGCUUUCCCUUCGGGGACACAAAGACAGGUGGUGCAUGGUUGUCGUCAGCUCGUGUCGUGAGAUGUUGGGUUAAGUCCCGCAACGAGCGCAACCCUUAUGGUCAGUUACUACGCAAGAGGACUCUGGCCAGACUGCCGUUGACAAAACGGAGGAAGGUGGGGAUGACGUCAAAUCAUCAUGCCCUUUAUGACUUGGGCUACACACGUACUACAAUGGCGUUAAACAAAGAGAAGCAAGACCGCGAGGUGGAGCAAAACUCAGAAACAACGUCCCAGUUCGGACUGCAGGCUGCAACUCGCCUGCACGAAGUCGGAAUUGCUAGUAAUCGCAGAUCAGCAUGCUGCGGUGAAUACGUUCCCGGGCCUUGUACACACCGCCCGUCACACCAUGAGAGCCGGGGGGACCCGAAGUCGGUAGUCUAACCGCAAGGAGGACGCCGCCGAAGGUAAAACUGGUGAUUGGGGUGAAGUCGUAACAAGGUAGCCGUAGGAGAACCUGCGGCUG
rnacentral:rRNA from 1 species